GAUGAACGCUGACAGAAUGCUUAACACAUGCAAGUCUACUUGAGCCUUCGGGUGAUGGUGGCGGACGGGUGAGUAACGCGUAAAGAACUUGCCCUGCAGUCUGGGACAACAUUUGGAAACGAAUGCUAAUACCGGAUAUUAUGCGAGAUUCGCAUGUUUCUCGUAUGAAAGCUAUAUGCGCUGCAGGAGAGCUUUGCGUCCUAUUAGCUAGUUGGUGAGGUAACGGCUCACCAAGGCGAUGAUAGGUAGCCGGCCUGAGAGGGUGAACGGCCACAAGGGGACUGAGACACGGCCCUUACUCCUACGGGAGGCAGCAGUGGGGAAUAUUGGACAAUGGACCAAAAGUCUGAUCCAGCAAUUCUGUGUGCACGAUGAAGUUUUUCGGAAUGUAAAGUGCUUUCAGUUGGGACGAAGUAAGUGACGGUACCAACAGAAGAAGCGACGGCUAAAUACGUGCCAGCAGCCGCGGUAAUACGUAUGUCGCAAGCGUUAUCCGGAUUUAUUGGGCGUAAAGCGCGUCUAGGCGGUUUGGUAAGUCUGAUGUGAAAAUGCGGGGCUCAACUCCGUAUUGCGUUGGAAACUGCCAAACUAGAGUACUGGAGAGGUGGGCGGAACUACAAGUGUAGAGGUGAAAUUCGUAGAUAUUUGUAGGAAUGCCGAUGGGGAAGCCAGCCCACUGGACAGAUACUGACGCUAAAGCGCGAAAGCGUGGGUAGCAAACAGGAUUAGAUACCCUGGUAGUCCACGCCGUAAACGAUGAUUACUAGGUGUUGGGGGUCGAACCUCAGCGCCCAAGCUAACGCGAUAAGUAAUCCGCCUGGGGAGUACGUACGCAAGUAUGAAAACUCAAAGGAAUUGACGGGGACCCGCACAAGCGGUGGAGCAUGUGGUUUAAUUCGACGCAACGCGAGGAACCUUACCAGCGUUUGACAUCCUAGGAAGUUGGCAGAGAUGCCUUCGUGCCCCUUCGGGGGAACCUAGUGACAGGUGGUGCAUGGCUGUCGUCAGCUCGUGUCGUGAGAUGUUGGGUUAAGUCCCGCAACGAGCGCAACCCCUUUCGUAUGUUGCCAUCAUUAAGUUGGGAACUCAUGCGAUACUGUCUGCGAUGAGCAGGAGGAAGGUGGGGAUGACGUCAAGCCAUCAUGCCCCUUAUACGCUGGGCUACACACGUGCUACAAUGGGUAGUACAGAGAGUCGCUAACCUGCGAGGGGGAGCUAAUCUCAGAAAACUAUUCUCAGUUCGGAUUGUACUCUGCAACUCGAGUACAUGAAGUUGGAAUCGCUAGUAAUCGCAAAUCAGCUAUGUUGCGGUGAAUACGUUCUCGGGUCU
rnacentral:rRNA from 1 species